GACGAAGGUGGCGAGCGUUGUUCGGAAUCACUGGGCAUAAAGCGCACGUAGGCGGUGCCGUAAGUCGGAUGUGAAAUCCCUCGGCCUAACCGAGGAACUGCGUCCGAUACUGCGGUGCUUGAGGAUCAGAGGGGUGCAUGGAAUUUCCGGUGGAGCGGUGAAAUGCGUUGAUAUCGGAAGGAACUCCGGCGGCGAAGGCGGCGACCUGGGUAGAUACUGACGCUGAGGUGCGAAAGCGUGGGGAGCAAACAGG
rnacentral:rRNA from 1 species